rnacentral:misc_RNA from 1 species
CGAGAAUCGACAAAGAAAUUUCAAGUGCAACUUGGUGGUUAGAUGGUGAAAUUAGCUGUUUUUUAGUCUGCAUUUUGUAUUUUCUCUCCAUUUGGUUUAAUUCCUUCUUACCUCAAAAAGUCUUCGUAGUAAUCGAAAAUGAACUUUUUUCCAAGCAAGACAUUCUCUAUUGCAUUUGAUUACCUCACUCUUACGCAAGUUCUGGACCACCUGGGAGCAGAUCAUAACCAUCAUGGUGCUUAGGAGUUUCCUUUUCGACUGGGAUCAACUUCAAAAUGACAGCAACGAUCAAGCUUACAGCGCCAAUUGAGACACUGAGCAGCCAUAGUUGCCAGCUAAGUGGUGUAGUACUGGCAAAAGUGCCUAAGAACUCAACGAUGAUAACUUGGAAAACAACUGUAGCAACCAUGACACCUAUGAAAAUCCAGCUGCCAAAAAUGCCACGGAAAAUGUUUAUCUUCUCCAUGUCACGGCUGUUUAUUUCAUUGAAAACCUGACAAAACACAAACGUGUUGAAAAUGAAAGUAUUCAGAACCAUUGUAGAAUCUGAACCUUCAAGUCCCAAAAUCUGCUUCCCCGCGAAGUUGAAGGCUAACAGUACAGCCAGCUGGUAGAUACUGUGCCCAAUUAUAUUUCUCCACAUUGUCUUUGUAAUGAAACUUACAUCCCUUCCAACAGGAGGCCUACUCAUUAGUCCGUCAUGAGGUGGUUCAGUGGCCAGUGCGAGUGCACCUAAAGUAUCCAUGAUAAGGUUGACCCAAAGAAGCUGAACGGCAGUAAGAGGAGCAGAUCCUGAGGCGCAUGCAGAAAUAAAAUUGAUCAUCAAAGCCACAACAUUGACAGUCAACUGGAAUUGCACGAAUUUUUG